rnacentral:rRNA from 1 species
CCUUUUUUUCAAAAACAUGUCUUAAUGAUAAUAAUUACAUAUUAAGUCUGACCUGCUCAAUGAUUUUUAUUAAAUAGCCGCAGUAUUUUGACUGUGCGAAGGUAGCAUAAUCAUUUGUCUUUUAAUUGAAGGCUUGUAUGAAUGGUUGGAUGAGGGAAUAUCUUUCUUUUUAUUAAAUGUUGAAUUUAAUUUUUUAGUUAAAAAGCUUAAAUAUUUAAAUGGGACGAGAAGACCCUAUAGAAUUUUAUUAAUGACUUAUUAAGUAAUAAUUUUGGAUUAUACUUUUUUUAUUAAUUUAUUAAUUUUGUUGGGGUGACAGUGAGAUUUAAUAAACUCUCAUAAUAUAAUUUAUUAUUUAUAAAUAUAUAAAAGAUCCUAUAGUAAGGAUAACUAGAUUAAAUUACCUUAGGGAUAACAGCGUAAUUUUUUUGGAGAGUUCUUAUCGAUAAAGAAGUUUGCGACCUCGAUGUUGGAUUAAAAUUAGAUUUAAGUGCAGAAGCUUAAUUUCUAGGUCUGUUCGACCUUUAAAAUUUUACAUGAUCUAAUUUCAACC